rnacentral:rRNA from 1 species
UUGGUUAAGUUAGAAAGGGCGCACGGUGGAUGCCUUGGCACUAGGAGCCGAAGAAGGACGGGACUAACACCGAUAUGCUUUGGGGAGCUGUACGUAAGCGUUGAUCCAGAGAUUUCCGAAUGGGGGAACCCACUAUCUUUAGUCGGAUAGUAUCCUUACGUGAAUACAUAGCGUGAGGAAGGCAGACCCAGGGAACUGAAACAUCUAAGUACCUGGAGGAAGAGAAAGAAAAAUCGAUUUCCUGAGUAGCGGCGAGCGAAACGGAAAGAGCCCAAACCAAGAAGCUUGCUUCUUGGGGUUGUAGGACACUCUAUACGGAGUUACAAAAGAAAGUUAUAAAUGAAGCGGUCUGGAAAGGCCCGCCAAAGACGGUAACAGCCCGGUAGUUGAAAUGGCUUUCCCUCCAGAGUGGAUCCUGAGUACGGCGGAACACGUGAAAUUCCGUCGGAAUCCGGGAGGACCAUCUCCCAAGGCUAAAUACUCCCUAGUGACCGAUAGUGAACCAGUACCGUGAGGGAAAGGUGAAAAGCACCCCGGAAGGGGAGUGAAACAGUUCCUGAAACCGUGUGCCUACAAGUAGUUAGAGCCCGUUAAUGGGUGAUAGCGUGCCUUUUGUAGAAUGAACCGGCGAGUUACGAUUUGUUGCAAGGUUAAGCGGAAAAAGCGGAGCCGUAGCGAAAGCGAGUCUGAAUAGGGCGCAUAAGUAACAGGUCGUAGACCCGAAACCAGGUGAUCUACCCAUGUCCAGGAUGAAGGUAAGGUAAUACUUACUGGAGGUCCGAACCCACGCACGUUGAAAAGUGCGGGGAUGAGGUGUGGGUAGCGGAGAAAUUCCAAUCGAACUUGGAGAUAGCUGGUUCUCUCCGAAAUAGCUUUAGGGCUAGCCUCGAGGUAAAGAGUCAUGGAGGUAGAGCACUGUUUGGACUAGGGGCCCUUCUCGGGUUACCGAAUUCAGAUAAACUCCGAAUGCCAUGUACUUAUACUCGGGAGUCAGACUGCGAGUGAUAAGAUCCGUAGUCGAAAGGGAAACAGCCCAGACCACCAGUUAAGGUCCCCAAAUAUAUGUUAAGUGGAAAAGGAUGUGGGGUUGCUUAGACAACCAGGAUGUUGGCUUAGAAGCAGCCACCAUUGAAAGAGUGCGUAAUAGCUCACUGGUCGAGUGACCCCGCGCCGAAAAUGUACCGGGGCUAAACAUAUUACCGAAACUGUGGAUGAACCUCUUUAGAGGUUCGUGGUAGGAGAGCGUUCUAAGGGCGGUGAAGUCAGACCGGAAGGACUGGUGGAGCGCUUAGAAGUGAGAAUGCCGGUAUGAGUAGCGAAAGAAGGGUGAGAAUCCCUUCCACCGAAUAUCUAAGGUUUCCUGAGGAAGGCUCGUCCGCUCAGGGUUAGUCGGGACCUAAGCCGAGGCCGAUAGGCGUAGGCGAUGGACAACAGGUAGAGAUUCCUGUACCAGUGCUAAUUGUUUAACCGAUGGGGUGACACAGAAGGAUAGGGAAUCGCACGAAUGGAAAUGUGCGUCCAAGCAGUGAGUGUGAGAAGUAGGCAAAUCCGCUUCUCGCGAAGCAUGAGCUGUGAUGGGGAAGGAAAUUAAGUACGGAAGUUCCUGAUUUCACGCUGUCAAGAAAAGCCUCUAGGAAGAGUAGUACUGCCCGUACCGCAAACCGACACAGGUAGAUGAGGAGAGAAUCCUAAGGUGAGCGAGAGAACUCUCGUUAAGGAACUCGGCAAAAUGACCCCGUAACUUCGGGAGAAGGGGUGCUCUAUUAGGGUGCAAGCCCGAGAGAGCCGCAGUGAAUAGGCCCAGGCGACUGUUUAGCAAAAACACAGGUCUCUGCAAAACCGUAAGGUGACGUAUAGGGGCUGACGCCUGCCCGGUGCUGGAAGGUUAAGAGGAGUGCUUAGCUUCGGCGAAGGUACGAAUUGAAGCCCCAGUAAACGGCGGCCGUAACUAUAACGGUCCUAAGGUAGCGAAAUUCCUUGUCGGGUAAGUUCCGACCCGCACGAAAGGCGCAACGAUCUGGGCACUGUCUCAACGAGAGACUCGGUGAAAUUAUAGUACCUGUGAAGAUGCAGGUUACCCGCGACAGGACGGAAAGACCCCGUGGAGCUUUACUGCAACCUGAUAUGGAAUGUUUGUACCGCUUGUACAGGAUAGGUAGGAGCCGAAGAGACGUGUGCGCUAGCAUACGAGGAGGCAAUGGUGGGAUACUACCCUGGCUGUAUGACCAUUCUAACCCGCCACGCUUAGCGCGUGGGGAGACAGUGUCAGGUGGGCAGUUUGACUGGGGCGGUCGCCUCCUAAAGAGUAACGGAGGCGCCCAAAGGUUCCCUCAGAAUGGAUGGAAAUCAUUCGCAGAGUGUAAAGGCACAAGGGAGCUUGACUGCGAGACUGACAAGUCGAGCAGGGACGAAAGUCGGGCUUAGUGAUCC